rnacentral:rRNA from 1 species
GAUGAACGCUAGCGGGAGGCCUAACACAUGCAAGCCGAGCGGUAUUGUUUCUUCGGAACUGCGAGAGCGGCGUACGGGUGCGUAACACGUGUGCAACCUGCCUUUAUCUGGGGGAUAGCCUUUCGAAAGGAAGAUUAAUACUCCAUAAUAUAUUGAACGGCAUCGUUUAAUAUUGAAAGCUCCGGCGGAUAGAGAUGGGCACGCGCAGGAUUAGCUAGUUGGUGAGGUAACGGCUCACCAAGGCGAUGAUCUUUAGGGGGCCUGAGAGGGUGAUCCCCCACAAUGGAAGUGAGAAACGGUGAAGAAUGCUACGAGAGGGAGCAGGCGGGAAGAUUGGAAAAUGGGCGGAAGUCUGAUUUAGACAUACCGAGUGGGUGAAGAAGGCCCUCGGGUUGUAAAGCUCGUUUGGUGGGAAAGAAAAGAAGCAGGUUAAUACCCCGCUGUUCUGACGGUACAUAAAGAAUAAGAAACGGCUAACUUCGUG